UAAGGAAUAUUGGUCAAUGGAGGCAACUCUGAACCAGCCAUGCCGCGUGCAGGAAGAAGGCCCUAUGGGUCGUAAACUGCUUUUGAACAAGAGAAAACCCCGGUACGUGUACUGGGUUGAUAGUAUUGUUAGAAUAAGCAUCGGCUAACUUCGUGCCAGCAGCCGCGGUAAGACGAAGGAUGCAAGCGUUAUCCGGAUUCAUUGGGUUUAAAGGGUGCGUAGGCGGACUGAUAAGUCAGUGGUGAAAUCUCUCGGCUUAACCGAGAAACUGCCAUUGAUACUGUUAGUCUAGAGUACAGAUGAUGUGGGCGGAAUAUGACAUGUAGUGGUGAAAUACUUAGAUAUGUCAUAGAACACCGAUUGCGAAGGCAGCUCACAAAACUGUAAACUGACGCUGAGGCACGAAAGUGCGGGGAUCAAACAGGAUUAGAUACCCCGGUAGUCCCUGAGCGGGCUGGCAAGGCGCAU
rnacentral:rRNA from 1 species